rnacentral:rRNA from 1 species
UACGAAGGGGGCGAGCGUUGUUCGGAAUUACUGGGCGUAAAGGGCGCGCAGGCGGCCUUCUUGAAGUCAGAUGUGAAAGCCCCGGGCUCAACCUGGGAAUGGCAUUUGAUACUCGAGGGCCUGAGUACGGGAGAGGAGAGUGGAAUUCCCAGUGUAGAGGUGAAAUUCGUAGAUAUUGGGAAGAACACCGGUGGCGAAGGCGGCUCUCUGGACCGUAACUGACGCUGAGGCGCGAAAGCGUGGGGAGCAAACAGGG